CAGCAGCCGCGGUAAUACAGAGGGUGCAAGCGUUAAUCGGAAUUACUGGGCGUAAAGCGCGCGUAGGUGGUUUGUUAAGUUGGAUGUGAAAUCCCCGGGCUCAACCUGGGAACUGCAUCCAAAACUGGCAAGCUAGAGUAUGGUAGAGGGUGGUGGAAUUUCCUGUGUAGCGGUGAAAUGCGUAGAUAUAGGAAGGAACACCAGUGGCGAAGGCGACCACCUGGACUGAUACUGACACUGAGGUGCGAAAGCGUGGGGAGCAAACAGGAUUAGAUACCCCUGUAGUCCUUGUCUCUUAUAC
rnacentral:rRNA from 1 species